GACGAACGCUGGCGGCGUGCCUAAUACAUGCAAGUAGGACGCAGUUGCGACCGGGUGAGUAACGCGAAGGUAACUGCCUAUUAGAGGGGGAUAACUAUUGGAAACGAUAGCUAAUACCGCAUACUAGUAGACGGACCUGCGUUGUAUUAGCUAGUAGGUAGGGUAAUGGCCUACCUAGGCGACGAUACAUGAGCGAACUGGGAGGGCUGACGGUCAACCUUGGACCGGGACAAGGCCCAGACUCCUUCGGGGAGCAAGAGUAGGGGAUCUUCGGAAAAGGGGGGAACGCUGGACGGGGAACGGCGGGUGGGGGGAGGAAGUUUUCGGAUCGUAAAGCUCUGUUGUUAAGGGAGCGGUACUUAACCAGAAAGUGACGGCUAACUACGUGCCAGCAGCCGCGGUAAUAC
rnacentral:rRNA from 1 species